rnacentral:misc_RNA from 1 species
GAUGAAGAACGUAGCGAAAUGCGAUACGUAAUGUGAAUUGCAGAAUUCAGUGAAUCAUCGAGUCUUUGAACGCACAUUGCGCCCCCUGGUAUUCCGGGGGGCAUGCCUGUCCGAGCGUCAUUGCUGCCCUCAAGCACGGCUUGUGUGUUGGGCCUCCGUCCUCCUCCCGGGGGACGGGCCCGAAAGGCAGCGGCGGCACCGCGUCCGGUCCUCGAGCGUAUGGGGCUUCGUCACCCGCUCUUGUAGGCCCGGCCGGCGCUUGCCGACACAUCAAUCUUUUUUCCAGGUUGACCUCGGAUCAGGUAGGGAUACCCGCUGAACUUAAGCAUAUCAAUAAGCGUAGGA